rnacentral:rRNA from 1 species
UACGUAGGGUGCAAGCGUUGUCCGGAAUUAUUGGGCGUAAAGAGCUCGUAGGCGGUCUGUCGCGUCUGCUGUGAAAACUCUGGGCUCAACCCAGAGCCUGCAUUCGAAACUGACGAGCUCGAGUUCUGGAGGGGAAAGCGGAAUUCCCGGUGUAGCGGUGGAAUGCGUAGAGAUCGGGAAGAAUACCCGUGGCGAAGGCGGCCAGCUGGGCCAGGUCCGACACUGAGGCGCGAAAGCGUGGGGAGCAAACAGG